ACCCACCUUCCUUACACAGCCCGAAGUCCGCGAUCUUCAGGAAACCCUGGGCAUCCAGCAGCAGGCCUGUCUUCCACCUGAGGAUCCGAGACUCCAGAUGAGGAAACUGAGGUGCAGAGGUGAGAGGGGACCUGCCCCAGGGCACCCCACUGACUGCAGGUGCUAAGAAGAGAACCCAGGCCUGGCUGGCCCCAGAGAGUCGCCACCGCAAAGCCCCAGGAACCUCCUGGUGCCAAGAGCCCAGGCCAGCCGCCCAGGCCCUCCCCAGGCCAGGUGCUCCGCGGCGUCA